ACCUAAAGGUCAAGGCAUUCUGUUCCGCAUGGACAAUGUAUCUGAAUUUUCUUAUUUCUCUGAUCGGAAGUGCACAC